UAGGCAUUUAGGAAUGUCUUUUUUUCUUCAUGAUCUAGUUCGUUCCAUAAAGUCUGAAUAUUCUCUAAAUAAUGAUUUUCUAUAUAUCAAAAAUCUAUUAUACCUCUCCUUAGAACCAACAAACAAAAUAUCCAGGCUGAGGAUGUCUAUCCUACUCAUGGGAUGCGGAUCCAUAAUAGAGCUCGUACCCCAGAGUUUGUUACUACUCUAGCAGUUCCUCCAGUUCUGACUAAUCCACCUCAG
rnacentral:lncRNA from 1 species